ensembl:lncRNA
GCACAAACUGUAUGUUUUGAUGUCGUCCAAUUGUCCCUGUGAAAUUGUUAAAUACUGCAGGAAGAUGUUUCUGUUUGUGUGUGUGUAUAGUGGGCGUGGGGGGCUUAAUCGCUUCUGCUUGCCUUUCUGUAAAAGUCACUGCACGCCACUGUUGUGUUCACAUAGAAGUUAAUUUUACAGGUACCACCCCCAUAAACAUUGCUGCAGACCAAUGUUUCUUGUAGCUGAUUGGUUAAAAAUAUCCACAAACUCCCAAACACUCUCGAAUGUCCCUGAGAGUAUAAAUGAACUGGUCCAGUGUACCGCGACCAAGAUAAGAACCAAGACUUGUGAGUUCGGAUCAGAAUUUUCACAGAGGAACAAACUGACAUUAUUUCUUAAACCAACACUUUUUUCAUUUGUCAACUUCAAUUUAAUUCAGUUCUAUUCACAGUUACCUCAAGUUACUUUAUAUUGUAAGGCAAACCCUGCAAUAAUACAGCAUACAUACAUCCAAAAUAAUCAGACAACCCCCUGUGAGGAAGCACUUGGCAAAAGUGUGAAGGAAAAUCUAUGUUUUAACAGGAAGAACCAGUGAGGGGCAACUACCUGCAGAGACCAGUUGGGGGCGAGGGGGGGAGACAGGACAAAAGCCACAGUGUCCAAGAAAGCCAGAGAUGAAUAACAAUGAUUAAAAGCAAAGUGGUACAUGAACACUGGGAGUAAAGGGGAGUUGAAACGCAGACAUAUACUAUAACCUCAAGUCACCAACAUGUCCACACAGGAAACCCCCGAAAUUUUGUUGAACUUUUGCAAUUAAAUGCUAUAUUUAUGUUUAUUUUUAUCAGAAAUAUAUUGUUUUUUUUUUUUCUCUUUCUUUUUCUUCUCUUAUUCUUUUUUUUUCUUUCUUCUUUCUCGUUGCCCUUUAUCGAGGAAAAGAACUGGAAUAACUUUGUGGGUCCUGGCUCCUUCCUACCCUCUCCUGGGAGCAAAAGAGCAGUAAUCAUUGAUCUCACAGCACUUCUCCCCAUUGGGAUUUCUUUGUUAAGACUGGUAUACUCGGAAAUUCACAUUUCUACUGUAUUUACACAUUUCUACUGUAUUUACACCAACAGAUCUCAAAUGAUUCAUUAUUUAUUAAAAAAAAAAAAAAAGAAAUAUAUUGUUAGUUACCAUUAUUCCAUUACUUUAAGGAAAAAAUUUAAUCAAAUGCACUUCUAUAAUAAAGACAGCAAUUCCUGUUGACAGCUCCUGCAAAAAUCGCUCCGUGUUCAUUUCCCACUUUUGAUUAUCAACAACAAGAGAACUUAGACUUAACUUCAAAUGCUAAAACACAGUGUCAUGAAUUUAGCGAAGUGUAAUCGUUAUAUUUUCCUUCAUAUUUGCAAACUAACAAAUGCCAACUCAGUAUGAUAGAGCAUGCUAACAUCCACAAUUUGCCAGACAAGCCCACCCUGGACACAAUAAUACUGAUGGGCAAAUAGUGAAAAAAUAAUGGCCACUGGCGACGGCUCCCGGGCCUGGCAGAUCCCCACGCACUAAAUAGGAGUGAAGAAGUUAAAGAAUUGAGAACAAAGAGCAAGGGAGGAUGGGGCACAUAAACGAGAAUGAUCAGUUUGCAGAACUGGGGGUGUUUGGAGGCGUGGUCCCACUCCUGAAAUUCCGAUACCUAAUCUCCAACAACUUGGAAAUUUCCAAAAAGGGAAAAAAGACAAUUUAAUAUUUAUUUUAUGUUUACAGUAUGUGAUUUAAUUUAUUUACAGUAUGUGCUGUUUCACCUGCUCACACUGGAUAUAUUUAAACUCAUUUUCAUGCCCACUCAUAUUCUGAAGCCCAAUUUAAAAAAAAAAAUCAACAUCCAGACAAAUUAAAAACUACAAACUAUGAAAGUAGCUAUUACACACACUUUCAUUACACCUCAAAGUAACAGUUUAACAGGUCAUAAUUCAUUUUCAGGUUCCACAACUGCCCAAGUUCCAGUAUAAUGAUCACACUGGCAUUUGGCCCUUGAACCCAGAUAUUUUUAAUGAAGCACACUCCUCACCAUGUGUAAAGGUUACCACCUCAAUCAGAGACUGCCUUUCAAACUCUG